AAUGAGGUGCCUGAUUAAAGGAUUAUCUUGAUAGGAUAAAUAAAGUAGUAUUAAUUACCCUUAUUA
rnacentral:tRNA from 1 species